CUCAGGAGCAAGCAGUGAAGACCGUCAAGCUAGCACAGGCCAUGGCGGAGCAGGCAAAGAAGGAUUGACGGCGUGUCCUGGAGACUUCAUGACACUAGUGUCGAGUGUGAUGCCGCGGCAUGACGAUAUGACAUUGAUUUAGGAGUGUCUCCUAUGCUAAUUUCUGCAGCGUAGCAACUGCAGAUCAUGCAGACGGCAACCUGGGUGCGCACGGCAAGAGCGUCGGAUCUCCGGUCCGUUUGAACACGAGGGCUUGCCCGUUGCGUGUAGGAUGGUCAGCGCAGCGAACGUAUUGGGUGAAGGCGCCGUCCACUAUGGUUGCUCAAAAUUCUUUGUGCCGCGGUCGCCAACGUUUUUUUCUGGCUGCCUGCGGAUCUAAUUACGUGUCAGGUUGUUAAAUCAUAUUGGGGGUGACUGGCGCAUUCCGGUCAAACUUCUCGUUCCCGAACGCUGGCGGCGAAGGAAUGCGAACGCUGUCCCGCUGAGUGUCUGCUGGGGGGUACGCACCAUUAAGUAAGGGUCUGCCGCAUCUGUCGUACAGGUUGGGGUUCCUGUUGGGGCCUGUAUCCACCGGGGUCAAGAAUAUAUAUAGGAAUAUAUGUAUUUUAGGGGGUAAUAGUGUAUUUACGUUAUCAUGCCGAUGCCGAUGGAUGCCAGCCGUCCCUAAGGGCUUACUAGCAACGUGGCAUUACGGGAUUAGCCAUUUGGCGUUUCUGUUCCUAGGUAGGGCACAUAGUGAAUAAAGAGUUAAGGCAUUUGCAACUGUUUCAUGUUUGCAAAAGACAAUCAAGGGUGCCUUUCUCCCUUGUAACCAGAUUUGAGGAAUAAAACAAUUGAUUUACACGGUUGCCCCUCGCCGGUCCUGGACAUGCAGUGUUGUCAGGUUUCUGAUCCCGAAGUUGUUCGGGGCCACAAAAAACUAAUCCAGUAAUUCAGGCUGACCUUCGGAGCCUUGCUUUCUGUGAGAAUCGCUGCGACACGCUGCCAUGCACGUCCCUGUAGCGUCCCAUGCGUCCCUGCAGGUGCGUCUCUGCAGCAAGCCAUAAACGCUACGAGCCAGCCGCCUCAUGGCAACUCCUGCCAUUCCCCUAUCUCCUAGGUGAAGCGGCCGAAUCACUGAUUAGACUAACACGACUCUUUGCAUGGACGUUGACGCGAAGCUGGCAUAACCUGCAUUGGCUUGGAGAGUAUGCACUAUUUGCUAAACACACUACAUAUAUGCAGGGGCCCACCUGCUACUGGCAGGACAAAAGGUGUGUUGGGCAUUGAAAAGCGCCGGGUUAAUCACCGAACUGCCAUGGGCUGUUGUACAGCCGUGCAUGUAGACUUGUAAAUGCCGUACAUUUGCGAAACGGAACGGGCGCCGUUAAUAGGGUUGCCGCGCAGCCGCAUGACAGCAGUAACGCAACGGCUGACGUAUCAGCCUUCUCUGGCCAGUGGCCAGUGGCCAGUUUUGCGUGGUGGUGUCCACUUUCCUAUUGGAGGAUUUCCCUUGGCCUCCUUCUUGGCCUCACGGGUCAUGGCGCAACCACCAGGCAGUUGGCUCGUGUCACAUUCCGUUCAUGCAUUCCUAGGACCUUCCCAACAAAUUACAUUUAACCCGGUGUGCAUAACGGGACAAUACUGCUAUAUGUCAGCGCAGCUGAUGAUAGCGUGCAUCCAUUCGCUUGAGUGGAAGCUUUGCGAAAGAAACAAAUAAAAACAAAUAUAAGUUCCGUUACAGUGACAUAGUUUUAAGUCUACGUUGACUGCAACGCAUUGCAAGCUAGAAGCCAUUAAGGCAGUCGUGUGGUCGGAAUGCCAGGAUCCCGGUUCCACGGCAUUGGUGCCGAUAGAGUAUGUUGAGCAGCACGUUCAGCGCAUUCUGCUUCGUAAGCAAUUUCAUGAAUCAAAAUCAUACAAUAUUCUGAAAAUAUUAUCCGGAUGUCACUCUCGGAAUGUCUGCGGUAGGGUCAUACCAGCCAUCAUGUUCACUUCAGUUACUUAAUGCACGAUUCAGCGUUGGUCAUUACCGUAUAGCUCCUGGACUGCAUAGACACCACUUACACCGCGGUCACGAGUCCCCCUCAGUUCGUUAUGCGCCGGCGGUUUGCCAUGAACCAGGCGCGCAAGCGCCCCCGCACGGGUUGUGCCACAGCUUUUUACGCCGUCGUUGCAUUGCCACAGCAUCAGCUACAACAAUCGUCGCUUCAGGCACGAGCGACAGCGACCCUGCACCCGAUUCUGCGGGCAUGCUGCGCUAUCAGCUCGACUUGCUUCGCCGCAUGGUGUCAUUCCUGGGUCCAGCCACACUCAUACCUCUCGGGGAGCCCCUCAUGAGCCUGGUGGACACAGUCUGCAUCGGCCAGGUACGGCACUUGGGCAAGGCGCCAUGACCACCUUCAUCCCACCCAUGGUACACGCACGCAGGUGAUGCAAGGCGCCGCAGUCCCGCAUUUGUAGGUGCUGAUACCCCUAAGUAUGCCAGCUGCUAUUGUGGCGGUUUCGCCAUCGGCAUGUAUAGCGGGACAGAGGCAGUAGCUACAGCACUAGCAGUAGCAGUAGCCGCUGGUACUACUUUAUAUUGCACUGGGAAUUGGCAGCCUCCGUGGAGAAACAAUCUGAUCUCAAUCUACACCGCCCGUUGACCUUCAUCCCCGCCCUUUCUGCCUCCAAUCCAUGUCUUCAUGCACGAACUGCGCCUCUUGAGCCCCUCAGCCGUCCUCAUUCCCGACUUUACCUGCCGCGUACCCC
rnacentral:lncRNA from 1 species